UCGAACGCGAAAGUCCCGCAAGGGAUAAGUAGAGUGGCAAACGGGUGAGUAACACGUGGGUGACCUGCCUUCGAGUGGGGGAUAACGUCCCGAAAGGGACGCUAAUACCGCAUAACAUCCUGCUUUUGAACAGGUGGAGAUCAAAGCUGGGGACCCGCAAGGGCCUGGCGCUGGAAGAGGGGCCCGCGUCUGAUUAGCUAGUUGGUGGGGUAAUGGCUCACCAAGGCAACGAUCAGUAUCCGGCCUGAGAGGGCGGACGGACACACUGGGACUGAGACACGGCCCAGACUCCUACGGGAGGCAGCAGUGGGGAAUUGUUCGCAAUGGGCGCAAGCCUGACGACGCAACGCCGCGUGGAGGAUGAAGACCUUCGGGUCGUAAACUCCUUUCGAUCGAGACGAACGGCCUCCGGGUGAACAGCCCGGAGGAAUGACGGUACCGAGAGAAGAAGCCCCGGCUAACUCCGUGCCAGCAGCCCGGUAAUNACGGGGGGGGCAAGCGUUGUUCGGAAUUACUGGGCGUAAAGGGCUCGUAGGUGGCCAACUAAGUCAGACGUGAAAUCCCUCGGCUUAACCGGGGAACUGCGUCUGAUACUGGAUGGCUUGAAUUCGGGAGAGGGAUGCGGAAUUCCAGGUGUAGCGGUGAAAUGCGUAGAUAUCUGGAGGAACACCGGUGGCGAAGGCGGCAUCCUGGACCGGCAUUGACGCUGAGGCGCGAAAGCCAGGGGAGCAAACGGGAUUAGAU
rnacentral:rRNA from 1 species